rnacentral:lncRNA from 1 species
CUCCUUUGAAAGACUUGAUGCUUUUUGGUAACGUCCACAAGUUUUGCAUCUAAAAUAUUAAAAUGGAGAAAAUAAACAUCACAGCAGAGACAGAAGUUUCUUCUGAUAAAUUAUCUUGUAAUGAACCAGCUAAUCCCAAGUGUAAUGAAUGUGGAAAGAUGCUUAAUCGGGAAAUCACAAAUCUCCUUUCACUGGAUGAGGCACAACAGGAACUGAAGGUCAAAUUGGAAAAAAAGGACCUAAUGUUGGAGCUAAAGGAAGAGGAAAUCUCUUACCUUUCAUUUGUACUGGAUGAGAUGGAAAAAGAAAUAGACAUGAAAAAUAGCCAGUGGGAGGACAGCUUUGAACCUAAACUGGAGGAGCUACGUGAGAAGGUCCAGGCUCAGAAGAAGCAGUUGGAUGAAGAAAAGGCUGCUUUGUUGGACAUUACUAACGAGCUUCAGAACAAAGAACAAGUGUUCUUAAAGCAGAAAGAUGAACAACAAAUAACCAUUUCACAUUUGGAGGCCACUCUGAAAAUGAAGGAGGAUGACCUAAAAAGCCGCACAGACCAAUGUAACCAACUGGUGGAGAAUGAAAAAGCUGUGAAAGCAAUCACAGAAAAGGAAGCUCUCUGCAAUAAUGAGAACCAGUCGACACAAACGCAGGUCCAACUACAGACUGCCCUGGAUGAAGUACAGAAAAAACUUGUGGAAAUGGAAGAGGAGCGGUCCAACCGCAUCAAGACUAUGUCCAUCAUGAAGGCCACGCUCACUGAAACACAGGAAGCCUUGAACAAAGUGCAAGCCACAAUUCAGGAGCAGAAGCAGGAGAAGGAGCAAAAGAGGGAGAAGGAGAAGAGGCAGAAGCAGGGGAAGGAGGAAGAGAAGGAGAAGAGGCAGAAGCAGGGGAAGGAGGAAGCAAAGGAGAAGGAGGAGAAGAAGGAGAAGGAGAAAAAGAAGGAGAAGAGGCAGAAGAAGGGGAAGGAGGAAGUGAAGGAGAAGAAGGAGAAGGAGGAGAAGAAGGAGAAGAGGCAUAAGAAAGACAAGGAGUAAAAGAAGGAGAAGGCAGCUUCUAAGGACAACGCUGUAACAAAAUGGUUCAAAAACCUGUUUAGAAUUAAAAGAAGAUGAGGAUGGUGCUGCAGAUGGAUGAUGUGAACAGUAACUGGUGUAACAACGUGACAGUGAUCCUUCAGCACUGCUCUCCUCAGAACAACCAGAAUAUCGGCGCAUGUUUGUGUCAAACUUACGUGUCCUGAUGUCAUUCCAUUCAUCUGAAUUUGGACCGAGGACCUCCUGUGUGUCACUGAAGGGAUUUAAAUAAACAAUUUAAAUCUGAAUUGCAUUAUUUUGUUUAAAUAUCCUAUUCC